UUAAGAAAAAAGAAGAAAAAUCCGUGCUUGUGCUCAUUGGUCAUUGGACAAAGGGUGUAUGCCAGAAUUUUUUCAAGAACAGUCUGAAUCUGACAUGGAAAAAAUGAAGAAAAACAGCCUUCCUGUUUAUAAAUCUACAUUCUGACAAAGGGUAAGAAAGAAAUUCAGGAGUUCUUAAAUUGCCCUUGGAGUUCUUGGAUUGCAUCAAACUGCUAAAAGACCUCAACAAAAACAGUGUCUUGAAAAUAAAAAUGAAAAUAUUCAGUGAAAAAAAAAUGAUGAAAGAGCCACUAAAAAUCUUCAAGCCUUUGAGCUGAAAUCUGGAAGUCAAUCUGUGGACUUAACUAGUAUGUCUUACUAAGUCAUCAUUUGUGUAUAAUAAAUACACUAAACUGUAAACACUUGUUAAAAUGUGUAUAAUUUUUAGAUAUAAUUUGUAGCUCACAGACUUCAAUAGUUUCAUGUAAUUUAAGUAAUAAUGAAAAUUUCCUGUUGUCUAGCUAGAUUAGAAACUAUUAUUGUCCAAUUUUGGAUAUUGUGAAAUAAUUCAUCUAGUAUGCAUACAUGUGUGUACACUUACGUGUAAAUUAAUUAUUACAGCAAAUUCAAUCGAUCAUUAAGUUGAAUGUUGACUAAUGUUUUUCAUCGAAAUUGUUUACACUGAAUUGUUUGUGGAUUUUUCCAUUUGCCCAAUCAUGUCAAGGAGCACAUGGCAGGAAAUGCUUUCUCCUCCAUUGCACCUGGUGUUUUUAGCGGUCUGUGUUUGCUCUGCUCUAAUUUUGUAUUGUUUCAAUGGACUUUAAAGCUUGAUCACUGUUGGUAAUCUUCAUAUUUCAUAUACUAUUAGAGUACUGGAAGAAAACUGUAAAGAUUUAACAUACAGUA